AGUGUGAAACAUUCAGAGGAGACUCUUUAGUUCUUUGGAAGAAGGCAGGGGAAAAAGAAAAUAUCCUUCAAAAAUGGCAAUGGUAUCUGAAUUCCUUAAGCAGGCCUGGUUUAUUGACAAUGAAGAGCAAGAAUACAUUAAAACUGUGAAAGGAUCCAAAGGUGGUCCUGGGUCAGCAGUGAGCCCCUAUCCUACCUUCAAUCCAUCCUCAGAUGUUGAAGCCUUGCAUAAAGCGAUAACAGUGAAAGGUGUGGAUGAAGCAACCAUCAUUGAAAUUCUAACUAAGAGAACCAAUGCACAGCGUCAGCAGAUCAAGGCAGCAUAUCUCCAGGAGAAAGGAAAGCCCCUGGAUGAAGCUCUGAAGAAAGCCCUCACAGGUCACCUUGAGGAAGUUGCUUUGGCUUUGCUGAAAACUCCAGCUCAGUUUGAUGCUGACGAACUCCGUGCUGCCAUGAAGGGCCUUGGAACUGAUGAAGACACUCUGAAUGAAAUUUUGGCAUCAAGAACUAACAGAGAAAUCAGAGAAAUUAACAGAGUGUAUAAAGAAGAACUGAAGAGAGAUCUGGCUAAAGACAUUACCUCAGACACAUCUGGAGAUUAUCAGAAGGCUUUGCUUUCUCUUGCUAAGGGUGACCGAUCUGAGGACCUUGCUAUAAAUGAUGACUUGGCUGAUACAGAUGCAAGGGCUUUAUAUGAAGCAGGAGAACGAAGAAAAGGGACAGAUUUGAAUGUGUUCAUUACCAUUCUUACUACCAGAAGCUAUCCUCAUCUUCGCAGAGUGUUUCAGAAGUAUUCCAAGUACAGCAAGCAUGACAUGAACAAAGUUCUGGACCUGGAGUUGAAAGGUGACAUCGAGAAUUGCCUUACAGUUGUUGUGAAAUUACAUCAUCAGCUGUCUCAUAAUUUACAAAGAAAUAUAACAAAAUGAAACAAAAACUCAGAUGUAAUUUAUCUGUGUUUCAAAUAGAGGCAACAGGUAAGAUAAUGGCAAUAAAUGUUCAGCUGAAGUUAUACGAUGAUCUUCCUAGUAAUAACAGAUAUUAUUUCCUUUUUCAAAAAGAUGUGCAUGUGAAUAGUAUUUACUGAGCACCUGCUUAUACCCUGCAAUACGCCAGGCUGGGGUUGGCACAGAGGAAAGUCAAAGAGGUUAUUAAGAGCAUGGGAUUUGGAAUUAGAUAAGUACAGAUCCACAUUCUAGUCUGGCACUUGCUAAUUGAGUAAUCUUGGGCAAGUCCAGGUUUGAUUCAGUAGGUCUCUGGUGCCUUCUGAAAAGUCUUCAGAAGAGAAAAAGAUUUUAAAGGUUUCCCAUUUUAUUCAGAUGACCAGUCACAGUUUGGGAACCUGCAUUCUAAAGCAGUGCUUCUCAAACAUUCAUGUGCAUAUGAAUCCCUUGGGAAUCUUGUUAAAAUGCAGAUUCUGACUCAGUAGUUUUGGAGUAGGCUCUGGGAUUCUGCAUUUCUAACAAGCUCUAAGUUGAUGCUACUUCUUAAGGUUUGAGUAUCAAGGUAGAGGAUCUUAACAUCUGCUGGUGUUUUAUAUGGCAGCUACUUUAUGUUUUAAGCUGUUCUAUUCCACUUAAAAUAUUAUUUCUUACUACAAGAUGAAAGAAGUAUUUCUCGAGCACCUACUGGUUUCCCUGUUUCCAGGAAGAGUAUAUUCAGGGCAGUAUGAGUUGUUGCACUUGCUACUGGGUAGAUUUAAAAUAAUAGGAUAUAAGCGAUGUUGUCAGGAGACAGAAUAUUCAAAAUCACCAUCUACAGAAGAGCUUCUUAUAAGCCAAAUAUCCCAUAUUAGGAUGGGAGGUGAGAAACAGGAAUGGAGAAUGGAAUCCUACUUACAAAACUCUUUAUUUCCUGUUUCUUUCAAAUGCAUCUUUCUUCUUUUGUGGUAAAUAUGUCAACUAAAAUAUGCCUCCCUUUUAGUGAAGUGUGCUACAAGCAAACCAAUGUUCUUUGCUGAGAAGCUUCAUCAGGCCAUGAAGGGUAUUGGAACUCGUCAUAAGACACUGAUCAGGAUUAUGGUUUCCCGUUCUGAAAUUGACAUGAAUGACAUCAAAGCAUGCUAUCAGAAGUUGUAUGGUAUCUCCCUCUGCCAAGCCAUCCUGGAUGAAACCAAGGGAGAUUAUGAAAAAAUUCUGGUUGCUCUAUGUGGAGGAGACUAAACGUUCCUUUGAUGAUCUCAAGCUUUUUGAUCAGCAGUCUUUUUAAUCAUAUCUUUUCAUUCCGUAUCAUAGACUUAAAUAAGAAAAUUUCUUCAGCAGGAUUAUAGUCUAGCUAACUCCUUUCUGAAAAAUAUAGCCUAUAAAUCAUUUUUUGUAUUACAACUUUAUAUAAUAGAGAUAAGUUUUUUAAAAAAUAUAUUUACCCCAAACUAUAGAACCCCAUGAAGAGGUUGUUCUAGUAACAUUGUCUGAGGAAUAUGUUUAUGUCACAGAAAAUAAAAUGAUUUUACAGGC
rnacentral:lncRNA from 1 species